GCCAGUGUGGCACAGUGGUUUGAGUGGUGGACUACCAGUCUGGAAGCCAGGGUUCGAUUACCUGCUCGGCA